GAGUUUGAGAGCUUAAACAAAAGGUAAGAUCUCUAAUCUGCUUCUGUUUUUUCAGAUACAUUUUUUGGGCGAGUGUUAUUUUUUUGGGUGGUAAUUAAUGCGAAAAUUAGUAGACAUGGAACUGAUUUGUUUUCUUGUGGACCUUUUUCUUGUCUGUAUAUUUUCUUCACGGUUUUCACUGAUUGUUUGUGCCACCUUUCUCUGUUUGUCAUUUAUUACGAUUUUGAGAUUUUUCCCUUAGCUGACAUUUGACUGGAAAUCGACAUGCUUGUAUAAUUUUUUUGCACCUAAUUUAUAGCUUCAUCUCUCAUUCUCUUCUAGUUUAAUUUCAUUCUACACUUGAAUGAAUCUCCUCAUUUGAUUCGUAGAUUUGUGAAAUUAUUCAUUCCCGUUCUCUCAAUUGUACACCUGCUAUUUUACUUGAAUAAAGAUUUUUCUGAUAUUCUCAAAUAAGAGAAUUAUCAGCAUUGGCUGGUUUUUGCAUCUUAUGUCGCCUGUUAAACGUUU
rnacentral:misc_RNA from 1 species